UGGGGAAUUUUGGACAAUGGGCGAAAGCCUGAUCCAGCCAUGCCGCGUGAGUGAAGAAGGCCUUCGGGUUGUAAAGCUCUUUUAGUCGGAAAGAAAGAGUUGCAAUGAAUAAUUGUGAUUUAUGACGGUACCGACAGAAAAAGCACCGGCUAACUACGUGCCAGCAGCCGCGGUAAUACGUAGGGUGCGAGCGUUAAUCGGAAUUACUGGGCGUAAAGGGUGCGCAGGCGGUCUUGCAAGUCAGAUGUGAAAGCCCCGGGCUUAACCUGGGAAUUGCGUUUGAAACUGCAAGGCUAGAGUGCAGCAGAGGGGAGUGGAAUUCCAUGUGUAGCAGUGAAAUGCGUAGAGAUGUGGAAGAACACCGAUGGCGAAGGCAGCUCCCUGGGUUGACACUGACGCUCAUGCACGAAAGCGUGGGGAGCAAACA
rnacentral:rRNA from 1 species